CUAUACAACAACAAGUAAUGAAACUUUGAAAGAACAAAUCGAUACACAAUCAACUAAAAUAGAAAUAAUGAUUAAUCACCUUCCCGCUAACGCAAACACUCCUGUCUCAAGUAUUGUUAUCCACAACAACACAUAUCAAGAGGUAACAGAGCCUGUGUGGUACAGAUACCCUUAUUACUAUCGAUAUCCGAAAGUUAGUUCAGCAUACAAUUACUAUUCACCAUACUACCAACACAGCCAAUGUUCACCAAACCCUGGACAAUACAAAGCAAUUACCUACGAUAAUUGGCCAAGAUAUUACGGAUAUACAUAUAAUAAUCUUGAUAAGAGGACUUCUAAAACUUGGCACAAUUUGGAUGUCAGUAUUAAUAAUAUUAGAAGUGAAAGGAUUCGUGACGGUGCCGAUUGCUCUGGUAUGGUACGCGGUUAUAAUCGAUUUUAAACAGAAAGGUGGAAUAGGUUAUAUUAAAUUAUUUUUAACAG